rnacentral:lncRNA from 1 species
UGGGGACACUGGAGUGAGAGUGCAAGUGAUUGUUAGAGAACAACAUACAUUGAGCGUGAUCAACUCGAGAAACCACUUGGAUGUCUACUCACUCAUCAGUAAUUUUUUCAAUACUACAGAGGUGUAACUGGUCCUUUGAUUUAUGUUAUAUUGGCUAUUUGUAGCAAAGCUACUUAAUUUGAAUGUACGUUUCCUUAGUCUCUAGCCAUUCAGAUCUUUGCUGUGUAUGUUGACCAUAGUAAGUUCAGAUUCACUGUUUGAAUAGGAUGCACCUAGAUGGAAUCUAUCGAUCUUGAUAGAAAAGGAGUAGUCCUAUAUGAUUCAUGAGACUGUGUUCAGGAAGUCUCUCGUCAAAGCAAGUAUGAAUACUGAAAAAGAAUUUUCAUAAAAUUCACAAAUGAACUCGAGUUGAGCCAAUCUGGCAUAUAAUUAAUGAUGGGGUUUGACGAGUUCUCUAUGACCCCCAUCUAGUCGAAACUCACGAUAAAAGGACUGUAUCACACGAUAAUUGCACCUAGAGGUUCAUUCUUCUAUUCUACUGAGUUGUCAUUACAUGCUGCUAGACGUCACUAGUAGAUUGUGAGAACUCACUAAGAUUAUUUUUCAGAUCAAUGAUUCUUGUUGGGAUGAGUUGGAACCGUUCCAGCCCAUCAAAAAAUUUUUCGAUGUUACUAUGAUGGAGAUCAUGGUAUGUCUCACUACC